rnacentral:rRNA from 1 species
AUUGAACGCUGGCGGCGGGCCUAACACAUGCAAGUCGAACGAGUGGCGGACGGGUGAGUAAUGUCUGGGAAACUGCCUGAUGGAGGGGGAUAACUACUGGAAACGGUAGCUAAUACCGCAUACCAUCAGAUGUGCCCAGAUGGGAUUAGGUAGUUGGUGGGGGAAAGGCUCACCAAGGCGACGAUCCCUAGCUGGUCGGAGGGGAUGACCAGCAACACUGGAACUGAGACACGGUCCAGACUCCUACGGGAGGCAGGAGUGGGGAAUAUUGCACAAUGGGCGCAAGCCGGAUGCAGCCAGGCCGCGUGUAUGAAGAAGGCCUUCGGGUUGUAAAGUACUUUCAGCGGGGAGGCGUUACCCGCAGAAGAAGCACCGGCUAACUCCGUGCCAGCAGCCGCGGUAAUUC